rnacentral:lncRNA from 1 species
GAGACACCAUCUCAAAAAAAAAAUUAAAAAAUAUUUUUAAAAAGGGGAAAUAGGAAAGUUUUCAGAAUCAAAAUAGAGUUAUUAGUGUAAAAAAAAAUCACCUGACAAAUACAGCCAGGGAAGAUUAUGAAGGGAGGGUUCGCAGCCUUGUAUGCCUGAUAAAAACUACCACGAAAGACUGCAAAAAACACAACUUUGCCCAGAAAAUACUUCUGCAAGGAAAUCUGCCCAGCAACUGCCUGUCCAACCCCGGAUUGGCAUCAUCUUGUCAUUCCUCCUCGUAGCCAAGGAUAAUUGGCUUAAUAUUCUCAUUUCAAAACAAUUAUGGCGUCCUCAUUUUCCUUUAAAACCCUUUUUCUUCCUUUACCCCCCUUAAUAUACACAUAGUUUACUAUGGCACACACAUUCCCUCCCAAAUAAAUAUACAUAUCCUCUAGAGAGCCUCUUUCUGUUUCAUAUUUAGGUUGGGAAGUUCUAAUACCAUUCUCCAAUACAAGGAACCCAGGGCCAGGCACGGUGGCUCACGCCUGUAAUCCCAGCACUUUGGGAGGCCAAGACAGGAGGAUCACUUGAGCCCAAGAGUUUGAGACCAGCCUGGGCAACCUUGUCCCUACUAAAAAUAAAAAAUUACCCAGGCAUGGUGGCAUGCACCUGUGGUCCCAGCUACUCAGGAGGCUAAGGUGGGAGGACUGCUUGAACCCAGGAGGUCAAGGCUGCAGUGAGCUAUGAUCAUGCCGCUGCACUUUAGCCUGAGCAACAAAGCGAGACCGUGCCUCAAAAACAAACAAACAAAAAAAAAGCAAACCAAACAAAAAAACACAAAACAAGGACUGGGGCAGGAAACACACAACCUUAUAGUUGCAGAAAGUAAAAACGUGCUCAACACAAACAAAAUCCCCAGUUUAGGGCCAGGU